AUGAAUCAAAUUGGCAGCCCAAAAGAUUAAACAUCGCAGAAGUGAAUGUACACAAGGAAAUGAUUAUGGGACUCGCACGGAAAAAUCUUACAAAGACUCUGGUAGAUAGUUUGACACUCCCCCCACGCUAGCACCAAACUUUUUGGCAUGAAAAAAAAAACCAGAACAUGCGGCAUAUGAUUCAGCACCGGUCAAAUAUAGCAGCCCACUGAACAUAUUUUGACCCAACAAAUUAAUCCGGUAAUACAGUCAACAGAAUCCCAGCAAUCUCAAACAUAGUAGCUUACAUGGCAAGGACUUGAGAAAAGAACAGCCAGAAUAGAUUCAGAAGACCCAGACAACUCGCAACUUAGAAGCACUUCCGGUGGACAAUCGCUGGACCUGACUCAUCAUACUCACCCUUCGAGAUCCACAUCUGUAGCAUAAAAAUCAGAACACAUGGUUAGUACAACAAAUAGGGAGUAUAUUUACUGUAACUACUGCAAUGAUAUUAGGAUGUAUGAUCGCUAUUUAAGCGAAAGAAAGGCGCAAGAUUCACCUGUUGGAAGGUACUAAGGGAGGCAAGAAUCGACCCUCCAAUCCAGACACUGUACUUCCUCUCAGGCGGUGCCACCACCUUGAUCUUCAUGCUGCUUGGGGCAAGGGCAGUGAUCUCCUUGCUCAUACGGUCAGCAAUACCCGGG
rnacentral:lncRNA from 1 species